rnacentral:tRNA from 1 species
GGCAUAUAGCUCAGUGGUAGAGCACAUGCUUCGCAUGUACAAGGUCCUAGGUUCAAUUCCCAGUACUGCCA